rnacentral:sRNA from 1 species
GGACCAAUCUAGUACUUCCUAUGCUCCAGCUGUUUCUUUUACUGAAGUGGCUAACUUGUUGAAGCAGAACCACCUUACCAGCAAGAAAAGAAUCUUUUUUUUUUUGGUCCAGGAUAUAUGACUUGCAUGUGCCUUUUGCUAGAGUCUCCAGAUAAGCUCUCAAGUUUCAUUUGUAGGGAGAGAGAACCAGUCGAGGAAGAACACUUAAUGUAUCGUGGGCACAACGUUAUAUU